GCGACCCCUAGGUCAGGGCGGGACUACCCCGCUGAGUUUAAAGCAUAUCA
rnacentral:rRNA from 1 species